UCCCAUUCCGAACUCAGAAGUGAAACGUGUUAGCGCCGAUGGUAGUGUGGGAGUUCCCAUGUGAGAGUAGGACAUUGCUAGGC
rnacentral:rRNA from 5 species